AACGAACGCUGGCGGCAUGCCUAACACAUGCAAGUCGAACGAUACCUUCGGGUCUAGUGGCGCACGGGUGCGUAACGCGUGGGAACCUGCCCUUAGGUUCGGAAUAACUCCCCGAAAGGGGUGCUAAUACCGGAUAAUUUCUUCGGACCAAUGAUUUAUCGCCUUUGGAUGUGCCCGCGUUGGAUUAGCUAGUUGGUAGGGUAAAAGCCUACCAAGGCGACGAUCCAUAGCUGGUCUGAGAGGAUGAUCAGCCACACUGGGACUGAGACACGGCCCAGACUCCGACGAGAGGCAGCAGUGGGGAAUAGUGGACAAGGGGCGAAAGCCUGAGCCAGCAAUGCCGCGUGAGUGAUGAAGGGCUUAGGGUUGUAAAGCUCUUUUACCCGGGAUGAUAAUGACAGUACCGGGAGAAUAAGCUCCGGCUAACUCCG
rnacentral:rRNA from 1 species